rnacentral:lncRNA from 1 species
AUAGACAUGCUUUCUGAAGCAGGACUCUCUGUUAUAGAAACCACCAGCUUUGUGUCUCCUAAGUGGGUUCCCCAAUGGGUGACCACACUGAAGUCUUGAAGGGCAUUCAGAAGUUUCCUGGCAUCAACUACCCAGUCCUGACCCCAAAUUUGAAAGGCUUCGAGGCAGCGUCACCAAGAAGUUCUACUCAAUGGGCUGCUACGAGAUCUCCCUGGGGGACACCAUUGGUGUGGGCACCCCAGGGAUCAUGAAAGACAUGCUAUCUGCUGUCAUGCAGGAAGUGCCUCUGGCUGCCCUGGCUGUCCACUGCCAUGACACCUAUGGUCAAGCCCUGGCCAACACCUUGAUGGCCCUGCAAUGGGAGUGAGUGUCGUGGACUCUUCUGUGGCAGGACUUGGAGGCUGUCCCUACGCACAGGGGGCAUCAGGAAACUUGGCC